AACGAACGCUGGCGGCAGGCCUAACACAUGCAAGUCGAGCGCCCCGCCAGGGGAGCGGCGGCCGGGUGAGUAACGCGUGGGAACGUACCCUUUGCUACGUAAUAUCCUCGGGAAACUGGGAGUACUACCGGAUGUGUCCUUCGGGAGAAAGAUUUAUCGGCAAGGGGUCGGCCCGCGUUGGAUUGGGGAGUUGGUGGGGUCAUGGCCUCCCAAGCGGACGAUCCAUAGCUGGUUUGAGAGUAUGGUCACCCACACUGGGACUGAGCAACGGCCCAGACUCCUACGGGAGGCAGCAGUGGGGAAUCUUAGACAAUGGGCGCAAGCCUGAUCUAGCCAUGCCGCGUGAGCGAUGAAGGCCUUAGGGUAGUAAAGCUCUUUCAGGGGGGAAGAUAAUGACUGUACCCCCAGAAGAAGCCCCGGCUAACUCCGUG
rnacentral:rRNA from 1 species